rnacentral:rRNA from 1 species
GACGUAGGGGGCCAGCGUUGCUCGGAAUUACUGGGUGUAAAGGGUUCGUAGGCGGUGUGGCAAGUCGGGAGUGAAAUCUCUGGGCUCAACCCAGAGUCUGCUUCCGAAACUGCUGUGCUUGAGUGUGGGAGAGGCGCGUGGAAUUGCAGGUGUAGCGGUGAAAUGCGUAGAUAUCUGGAGGAACACCAGCGGUGUAGACGGCUUACUGGACCACGACUGACGCUGAGGCACGAAAGCGUGGGGAGCAAACAGG